CUCACAGACGGUGAUGAGCUACGGCUGGAUACGCUGCACGCCCAGGCCCCAGGGUGGGAUGUGUGGUGGGCCUGUGGGCUCCCCUGCCCCAGAGUGGGAGACACACACACAGACCCCCGCCCAGGGUGGGACUCCACACACCCCCCCCAGGGUGGGAGACACACACACAGACCCCCACCUAGGGUGGGAGACACACAGACCCCCGCCCCACGGUGGGAGACACACACACAGACCCCCCGCCCUAGGGUGGGAGACACACACAGACCCCCUGCCCCAGGGUGGGAGAUACACACACAGACCCCCUGCCCCAGGGUGGGAGACACACACAGACCCCCCGCCCUAGGGUGGGAGACACACACAGACCCCCUGCCCCAGGGUGGGAGAUACACAGACCCCCACCCCAGGGUGGGAGAUACACAGACCCCCGCCCCAGGGUUGGAGAUACACACACAGACCCCCUGCCCCAGGGUGGGACCCACACAGACCCUUCCCCAGGGUGGGAGAGAUACACACACAGACCCUGCCCCAGGGUGGGAGACACACACACCCCUACCCAGGGUGGGACCCACACACACCCCCCCCAGGGUGGGAGACACACACACACACACCCCUGCCCCAGGGUGGGACCACACACACACCCCCCCAGGGUGGGAGACACACACACACACACAUCCCCUGCCCCAGGGUGGGAGACGCACACACAGACCCCCCGCCCCAGGGUGGGACCCACACACACACCCCCUGCCCCAGGGUGGGACCCACACACACACCCCCCGCCCCAGGGUGGGAGACACACACACACACAUCCCCUGCCCCAGGGUGGGACCCACACACACCCCUGCCCCAGGGUGGGACCCACACACACCCCUCCCAGGGUGGGACCCACACACACUCCCCCCCCAGGGUGGGACCCACACACACCCUCCCCCAGGGUGGGAGAUACACACACAGACCCCUGCCCAGGGUGGGACCCACACACAGACCCUGCCCCAGGGUGGGACACACAGACCCCUGCCCCAGGGUGGGACCCACACACAGACCCCUGCCCCAGGGUGGACACACACAGACCCCUGCCCCAGGGUGGGACACACACACAGACCCCCUGCCCCAGGGUGGGACCCACACACAGACCCCCUGCCCCAGGGUGGGAGAUACACAGACCCCCUGCCCCAGGGUGGGACCCACACACAGACCCCCUGCCCCAGGGUGGGACACACACACAGACCCCCUGCCCCAGGGUGGGACCCACACACAGACCCCCUGCCCCAGGGUGGGACACACACACACACCCCCUGCCCCAGGGUGGGACACACACACACACCCCCUGCCCCAGGGUGGGACCCACACACACCCCUGCCCCAGGUGGGACACACACACACACCCUGCCCCAGGGUGGGACACACACACACCCCCCUGCCCCAGGGUGGGACCCACACACACCCCCCGCCCCAGGGUGGGAGAUACACACACAGACCCCCUGCCCCAGGGUGGGACACACACACAGACCCCCUGCCCCAGGGUGGGACACACACACACACACCCCCCGCCCCAGGGUGGGACACACACAGACCCCCUGCCCCAGGGUGGGACACACACACACACCCCCCGCCCCAGGGUGGGACACACACACACCCAACUGCGUUGCUGACUGUGAGGAUGGGCUUUGGGCACCUCCUGCCUCCUGCCCUUGCAGGACCACUUGGCCCAGCCCAGCUGCCAUGGCUGCCCAGCCGGAGGGUGCUGCUCAGUGAGGGGACCCUCUUGUGGGCUGUGGUCACCAGGCUUCUGUUGUUGACCAGCUCUCUCUCAGCCGAGGCCACCCUCAGUCACAUGAGUUGUCCUGGGCUGGGACCUCUGGCCCUGUGGCCACUGGGCAGGUGCUGGCCGGGGUGCAGUCUCACCUGUGAAGGAUAA
ensembl:lncRNA